rnacentral:rRNA from 1 species
UACAGAGGUCUCAACCGUUGUUCGGAUUCAUUGGGCGUAAAGGGUGCGUAGGCGGUCGGGUAAGUCGGAUGUGAAAUCCCAGGGCUCAACCCUGGAACUGCAUUCGAUACUGCCUGGCUAGGGUACUGGAGAGGAAAGUGGAAUUCCUGGUGUAGCGGUGAAAUGCGUAGAUAUCAGGAGGAACACCGGUGGUGUAGACGGCUUUCUGGACCGUAACUGACGCUGAGACACGAAAGCGUGGGUAGCAAACAGG